GUGAAUCAUCAAAUCUUUGAACGCAAAUUGCACUCUCUGGUAUUCCGGAGAGUAUGCCUGUUUGAGGGUCAGGUAAAUAAAAAUCGGUGUUGUUGCUGCUUUUCGUGGUGACUCACCGGAUUUUGGUCGGCUUGCCUUCGGUUAAGUGACCUAAAAUUUUUCAUGAUUUUUUCGAACGUAGUUAAAUGAUUUUACGUACGUUUUCGUUAUC
rnacentral:misc_RNA from 1 species